AAAGGGAGCGUAGGCGGCUGAUUAAGUCAGCGGUGAAAGGUAGCAGCUUAACUGUUUUACAUGCCGUUGAUACUGGUUAGCUUGAGUUGACAGAAGGCAGAUAGAAUUCCUGGUGUAGCGGUGAAAUGCUUAGAUACCAGGAGGAAUACCGAUUGCGAAGGCAGUCUGCUGCAGUCACACUGACGCUGAGGCUCGAAGGUGCGGGGAUCAAACAGGAUUAGAUCCCGAGU
rnacentral:rRNA from 1 species